rnacentral:rRNA from 1 species
CCUGCCGGCGACCGGCGCACGGGUGAGUAACACGUAUGCGACCUGCCCCCCGCAGGGGGAUAACCGGGAGAAAUCCCGACUAAUACCGCGUAACGCCGCGGGGCUGCAUGGCCCGGCGACCAAAGGAAGCGAUUCCGGCGGGGGAUGGGCAUGCGGCGCAUUAGCUAGUCGGCGGGGUAACGGCCCACCGAGGCGACGAUGCGUAGGGGUUCUGAGAGGAAGGUCCCCCACACUGGUACUGAGACACGGACCAGACUCCUACGGAAGGCAGCAG